rnacentral:lncRNA from 1 species
GUCUAAAAUUUAACUAAAAUGCUAGAAUUUUGAAGAUUUCGGUAAUUUAGCAUGACUUAAUGGCGCUACAACCCGAUAUAUGUGCAUUGUAUAGUCAAAAACAGCCCAUAUUUAUGUGGCAGAACCAUUCAACUGUCCAAUAAAUAACUAAAAGUUUACAUUUUAACAAUUUUGUAAAACUGUUAUAUUUUGGGGCCAAAAAGGGGUCUUACCGGAC